rnacentral:rRNA from 1 species
CCCAGACUCCUACGGGAGGCAGCAGUGGGGAAUAUUGCACAAUGGGGGGAACCCUGAUGCAGCGACGCCGCGUGGGUGAAGGAGUACUUCGGUACGUAAAGCCCUAUCAGCAGGAAAGAAAAUGACGGUACCUGACUAAGAAGCCCCGGCUAACUACGUGCCAGCAGCCGCGGUAAUACGUAGGGGGCAAGCGUUAUCCGGAUUUACUGGGUGUAAAGGGAGCGUAGACGGCAGUGCAAGUCCGGAGUGAAAGCCCGGGGCUCAACCCUGGGACUGCUCUGGAAACUGUAAAGCUGGAGUGCGGGAGGGGCAGGCGGAAUUCCUGGUGUAGCGGUGAAAUGCGUAGAUAUCAGGAGGAACACCGGCGGCGAAGGCGGCCUGCUGGACCGUAACUGACGUUGAGGCUCGAAAGCGUGGGGAGCAAACAGGAUUAGAUACCCCAGUACUA